CCCUUAGAUGUUCUGGGCUGCACGCGCGCUACACUGGUGCGUUCAGCGAGUUUAGCACCUUAACAGAUAUGUUUGGGUAAUCUUCUGAAAACGCACCGUGAUGGGGAUCGAUUAUUGUAAUUAUUAAUCGUCAACGAGGAAUUCCUAGUAAGUGUAGGUUUAUAAGUUGUUCUGAUUACGUCCCUGCCCUUUGUACACACCGCCCGUCGCUCCUACCGAUUGAUUGAUCCGGUGAAUUACAUAGAAUUUUGCGUUUUACAUGACGGAAGAUGAAGUGUUUUAAACCUUAUCAUUUAGAGGAAGGAGAAGUCGUAACA
rnacentral:rRNA from 1 species